UACGAAGGGGGCUAGCGUUGCUCGGAAUUACUGGGCGUAAAGCGCACGUAGGCGGAUUGUUAAGUCGGGGGUGAAAUCCUGGAGCUCAACUCCAGAACUGCCUUCGAUACUGGCGAUCUAGAGUCCGGGAGAGGUGAGUGGAACUGCGAGUGUAGAGGUGAAAUUCGUAGAUAUUCGCAAGAACACCAGUGGCGAAGGCGGCUCACUGGCGCGGUACUGACGCUGAGGUGCGAAAGCGUGGGGAGCAAACAGG
rnacentral:rRNA from 1 species